rnacentral:rRNA from 1 species
UACGUAGGGUGCGAGCGUUACUCGGAAUUACUGGGCGUAAAGCGUGCGCAGGCGGUUUUGUAAGCCAGAUGUGAAAGCCCCGGGCUUAACCUGGGAAUGGCAUUUGGGACUGCAAGGCUGGAGUGUGGCAGAGGAGACUGGAAUUCCUGGUGUAGCAGUGAAAUGCGUAGAUAUCAGGAGGAAUACCGAUGGCGAAGGCAGGUCUCUGGGCUAUAACUGACGCUCAUGCACGAAAGCGUGGGGAGCAAACAGG